rnacentral:tRNA from 1 species
GGGCCUAUAGCUCAGUUGGUCAGAGCCUCCGGCUCAUAACCGGAUUGUCGCAGGUUCAAGUCCUGCUGGGCCCAC